UUAAGCGCAACUAACGGUUAAGAUGAAGGCGUGGUAGUGAUGACAAGGUCCAUUCACGUGCAUUCUUCUAUUUCUAUAUAUCCAUUUCGCUUUCACUACUUUCCUCCCAUCAUCACAUUCACUAUUUCCUGUUGUGUGUGUGUGUGUGAGAGAGAGAGAGAGAGAGAGAGAGAUAGAGAUGGAUCCUCCUCCUUCACAAUCCAUUGAUAUUUCCCAAGGCGGCGGGGAUGAUACUCAAGACAAGCUCAUCAAUGACUGUUGCUCUUGCUGCUAUGACUGUACUCAGGGCUGCUUUGAUUACCUUUGCUGUAACUUUUGUUGAAGUCAUCAUGUAAAUAUCUAUGCCCUUAUGAGGAAAAGAUUUUUUCAAGUGAGAAAUUAUUGAAUUUGUAGUUUCUAUAGUAUAUGAUAUUGGAAAACUUUCAAAUGUACCGGUAUAUUUCAGUAAAUUUUAACUGUUGAUUUUAAUUAUAAAAAAUAUAUAAUAUAUAUAAUUAAGAUUAACAGUUAAAAAUUAUUAAAAUAUUAAUGUAUUGGUAUAUUUAAAAGCUUUUCUAUGAUAUUUACUAUUUUAAUUUAAGAGCCAUUCAAAUGAAAGGAAAAAGCACUGCAUGUACUUGACACAUUCCUCUGCUCUUUCAAGCUGUAUUUUCCUUAUCAGAUGAACUUGCUGCGCUAUUCUCUCAUCUA